ensembl:snoRNA LOC120093460 small nucleolar RNA SNORA17
UUUGUCCCUAGAGGUAUUGCAGUUGUGGCUGCUGUCACAUGUGCACAUGUCACCUCAGUAGGUUGCAGGGGGGAGAGACACUAUGUCUAUACUCAAUGUUCUGACCUGUGAACAUCUGAAUGGUUAGUACACUAACAUU